AGACUAGCUAAGUCUUCUGGCCUCCAUCUUUCUCCCGUGCUGGAUGCUUCCUGCCCUGGAACAGCGGACUCUAAAUUCCUCAGCUUUUGGACUCUUGGACCUCCACCAGUGGUUUGCCAGGGGUUCUUGGGCCUUUGGCCACAAACUGAAGACUGCCCUGUCGCGUUCUCUAUUUUUGAGGUUUUGGGAUUCAGACUGGCUUCCUUGCUCCCUAGCUUCCAGACGGUCUAUUGUGGGACUUCAUCUUCUGAUCUUGUCAUGCCCUGACCACAGCUGCCCUUCAGGAGGCUGGCACGGAGCCACCUGGGGCCAUUGGGCUGUUUGUCAAGGGUGGGGCAGCAGCAACUUGCCACUCUUCCUCCAUGAGCCCAGCCAGAGCCUCCACUGGGCACUUAGCACAAGAAAAACCCUGCAGGAGCCGGAUCCAGAGCGCUGGGAUUCAGCAGGAGUGCCAGGAGAAUUCAACACAGGUGUGCUGCCUCCUCUCCUGCCAGGUGUGUGGCUGCACAGGAGUCUUGCUGAUGGUAAGAAUCGGAGUUCCUGGAUUCAGGGGGUACUGGGAGCAGCCGCCUGUGAGAAGGCUGGGCCAAACAAACAAAUGUUCUGAAUGAGGAUAAGAAAACAGCAUUUCUCCUGAGGGUCUCUGAUUUUCUGUAGCCUGCCCCUGGCUUGAAAACUGUCAGCUUAGCAAAGUGGACUCUCAAACCACCUGGAUCUCAUGUUUUUUGCUUGUCAGAUUCAUUGAUUGCUGCAGAAUAGGCUCAACAUCCCACAGGGUCUGCUUCUCUGACUGGGACAAAAGCGCUCAUAAGAAACUGAUGGGAGCGGCUUCACCAGGGGUGGCAGACAAUUCUGGCCAGGAGUGGGUGUCCGCAGUGGGCAAGAAGUGUGGGCUCCAUGCCAGGAGCAGUGGCGACAGCUUCUAGAAAUUGUCUAGUAGCCUGACAUCCUAAAGAAUGUCCUGGAGAGCUGGAAAAGCGGUUCUUCCAGACACAUGCAGGGAGCAGCGAAAUGAGAUGCAGUAGAAGGUUGAAUCCAGCUGGGAGCACAGUGCAAUUUAGUUAAGAGUGACUUCUGUGGCAUCUGCUGGUCGUGGGUGAGGGCUGGGGGAAGAUAAUACUAAUUUGGCCAUUAUUACACAUGUCUUUCUUGAAUCUUCAAUCAGAUUGUCAACUCCUUGAGGGUAGUAAUGGAAUAUUUUAUGUCUUUUGCAUUCUUCACAAGGUCGGGUACUCAGCCAUUGUUUAUUGGUUGACUAUUUGAUGCAUUCCGACACAAUACACUUGACCGGGCCAGGUCCUGGGAUCUUCAUUCAUAGGAGCAGUGUUGUCACCAGUAUCUGUUGGGCACCUGCUGAGAAGGAGCAAUGGCGGGUACUUUUGCCACCCGAGUUGGCCUGAGGUUGCUGAGUGUAUGAGUUUCCUAGGGCUGCCUUAACAAAGUGCCACCAACUGGGUGAUUAACAGAAAUGUCAGGUCUCCCAGUUCUAGAGGCGAGAGGUCUGCAACCAAGGUAUCAGCAGGGCCUGACCCCUCUGUGGUGUAUAGGAGGCCCCUCCUUGCCUCGCCCUGGCUUCUGACGAUUUGCCGGCCGACUGUGGUCUUCCUUGGCUUGCAGCUGCGUCACUCCAAUCCCUGCCUUUAUCAUCACAUGGCAUUCUCCCUGUGUGUGUGUGUUUCCAAAUUUUCCCAUUUUUAUAAGGACACCAGCCAUAUUAGGAACCGCCCUACUCCAGUAUGACCUCAUCUUAACUCAUUACAUCUUCAGCAACCCCGUUUCCAAAGAAGGUCACAUUCUGAGGUACUAGGGGUUAGGACUUCAAUGUGGAGAUCACAGUUCAAGCUGCCACACUAAGUGAGCUCAUUCACAGUGACAAGACUAGGGACAUACAAAGGGCCGGGGUGAAUAUGAAUGGUGUUCCAUGGUGCUGCCUGAAAGUGACUGGCAGCAGUGUCAGCAGGGGAGCAUGUCCUCUGUUCUCAGCAUUCACUAGAGAGGUGUGCUGAGCUGGGGCCCAGCUGGACACAUUGGAUGCUGUGCUCCAGAGGAGGAACUGCACUCACCUAUCGCUCUCCUUUGUAUGGGACAAGUGGGACAGAGCCUUGAUGGGGGGAACACACCACUGGGGUUCCAGGCAGCCUUAACUAUCGAGGAAUGGCAGGAAAUUCUGUCUGCCCAGCACCUGGUGACCCUGGAGCUCCUCAGUUUCCCGGGAAGUUGAGUUUUGGAGCAGUCUCUUCCAGAGAGGCUGGGAGUGCAUCACUUUCCCCCUGGAGGUGGCGGAGGCUGCUGGGCCCAACUAGCUCAUUGCCAGGCAAUCCAGAGAGAGUUCCAGACACCAGAUACUGAACAACCUACUUGUCUCCACACCUAGUAAAGCUUGGAUCCAAUGCUGCCAACUUUUCUGCCUCUCCAGUUUUGGAGCCCUUAAUGUGAAGGUGCAACCCAGAAGCCUGCAGGCUGUUCGUAGCCUGUAGAUGUGUUUUCUUCCCAGUAGCUGGUGUAUACAGUGUUUUUGUAUUAUUUUUCAAAUAAGCAAUACAUUUGUGUGGUUCAAAAAUUAAAGCGCUAUAGAAAGGUAUUCGGCGAAAUCUUAUCCCUGCCUCCAUUGGCCAGUCCUGCCCUGCCCCUCCCUUGUAACCACUUUUAUUAGUUUCCUAUACAACCUUCCAGGAUUUCUUUUUGCAGAUAAAAGUCAGUACAAAUAUAUAUCUGCCUCAUCCCUCUACUUCUUACAUAAUUAUAACAGACUCUACACACUAUUUUUAACCUUGCCUUUUUCACUCGAUUUAUCUUGGUGAUCUUUCCCUCUCAGUAUGUGGAGAGCUUCCUCAUUCUUUUUUUACAGGGGCAUAGUAUCCCAUUGUAUGGAUUUACCAUAAUUUAGCAAUCCCCUACUGAUGAACACAGGUUGUUUUUAGUCAUUUGCUGUUAAUAUUACAAGAAACACUGCACGGAAUAAACCUGCCAUUUCAUGUUGACCCUGAACGUGUGUAACAUUUAAAAAUUCUGAAAAAUCUUUGAAUAAUCAACAGAACUGGAAACACUCAGUUCUAGUAUGUGGACAACUGGUUGGGUUGGGUAGCAGCUGUCCUUUUAAAGAGACCUCCCUGCCCCGCUCUGGCAUCUUCCCCACCACCUCUUGCUGACCCUCUUGCGUUCAGCCUGAGCGUUGACUGCCAUCUAGCAACAUUGUGCUGUUUCUCUCAUAGAGUAUUAAGGAGGAAGGGAAAUCACUCAUGUACUCAUGUCUCUUCAAGGGGGAAACUGAAAACCAAGGAGGCUGUCUUUUUCCAGCAGAGGGAGGAGGGCAGACUUAAUAUGAAAGCGAUUCUUCUUCAUCGGCCCCUGCCCACUCGGCCCAUUUCUGUUAAUCUUCUGUAUGCUUGAGAUUGCAGCCCCUGCCUUGCCAUGUCCAGGCUUUCAUCUCGGGAGCUGAAAAGUGGAAGGGAAAGAACUCUGCUCUCUUCUUGCUUUUGUGCACUAUCUGAGUAAUUGCAUGGAGACCAGCAAUAAAAAUGAAAUACAAGACAGUCAGAAGUGUUGCUCCAUUACAUGGAUUCUCUCAGCAGACCCCCCAAGGCAGUGGUAGCACUAGCUCACUUUUCCAGACAAGGAAACAGUAGCAGAGUGAAGUGGCUUCACCAAGACUCAUAACUCGCACACAGAAGAACUAGGAUCAGAACCCAGGUUUUUCUGUCACUAGAACCUGACAUUUUAGCCAAUCUAUCAUGCUGCUCCCAAAGUCUUUUUGUUUUUUCUUGAGACAGAGUCUCGCUCUGUCACCCAGGCUGGAAUGCAGUGAUGCAAUCUUGGCUCACUGCAACCUCUGCCUCCCGGGUUCAGGUGAUUCUUCUGCCUCAGCCUCCCAAGUAGCUGCGACUACAGGUGCACACCACCACAUCCAGCUAACUUUUGUAUUUUUAGUACAGAUGGGGUUUCACUAUAUUGGCCAGGAUGGUCUUGAUCUCUUGACCUCAUGACCUGCCUGCCUCGUCCUCCCAAAGUGCUGGAAUUACAUGCAUGAGCCAGCUUACCCGGCCCCAAAGUCUUUUUAAAUAAGGAGUGGUUUACAGUUAAGCCUCUCACCUUCUAAGUCUGUCAUUACUGAUGCUGUGGAGAUGAUAGUCGUGACAAAGAUAAGAGCAGCUCUGAAAAUGGGCCAGAUGGCUACAUACUGCAAAAAAGGUGGGUGACAAUGCGUCUGUGGUCUCAUAACUAACGUGACGGCUGUUCCUUGACAGCUUUUCCCAUUUCAUAGAGUGGAAUUGGCUCCCCUGCCCUUUUGCUCUUUCAAUCCAAGAACAUGUAUUGAGCACCUUCUGAAUGCCAGGCACUGCGCUCGGUGUGAGUGACAAGCCUGGUGCCUGGAGGCUAGUUCAGGCAGGUCAACAGAAAGCUGCAGUGCCACCAGCUACAUGUGGUAUUGGUGACAUGGAUGCGUUGGGUUGUGUCCAGAAUGUGACAAAAGAGACAAAUACGCCAUGGAGCAACCAUGGACAACAAGGCGAGUGGCUUCCAGCUGUCUUGGGUCCUCGUCAUUUUACACUACUUGAUGAAGGAAGGAAGUGGGACCCAGAAGUGGUGGCUAUGAGCUAAGGUAUUGAGCCAUCCUUCUGCCCGCAGCCCAGGAUGAACAUGACCACAACUGGCAGCUCUCUGGAGGCCACUCGGGGUUGAAAGGUGGGCCAAAGGAACCCUCCCUCCCUUUGCUGCUCCACCUCAGCUUUUCUCAUUCCUGGCCAUUUGUUUAUCCUGUAAGCUGGGGGCUGGGGGUCUCCCAAAGUAUCACUCAUCCUGAGAGUUAGCAUUCUUCCAGCGGGGCAAAAUCCUCUUCCCUACUGAAGAAAUUCUAAACCCAGCCAGCUGAAAGAGGAAGAGUGCAGGGGUGAGGGGAGGAUGGGACCAAGAGGGCACAUUCCACUUGAUCUCUGAAGUCACACCUCAGCAACGGGACUUGCCCGCCAAGGCUUCUCGUCACCAUGCUUUGUUGGAUUUGUAAUGUGCUGUUUAUCUCUCUUCUCCCGCAAGUUUGCAUGCAACAGCAUCUGUCAUCUCUGUGGUUAUCUUAGAACAACUGGGGCUUUUGCUUUUUAUUUAUUCUUUCUCUGAGUGCAGUGCUAACCACAGCAGCCUACGGGCAGAGGGGUUGGGGAGGGAGUCAGUUGCUUUUCAUUGAAGUGCUAUGGUCUUCAGCUGCAGCUGGUGUGAGUGCUGAAACUGUGUGAAACAAAAGUGUUGAAACUCAGUCCCAAGUGACUUCUGGGGAUCCGUUGCCUGUGUUUCCUAUGGAUGAGUAAUUAGAAACGAGUGGUUUUCAGGUUGAAAAGGAGACUCCAGAGUCCUGAUGGAAUACAGACAGCAGGCACGUCUAGGGCCACAGACAGGUAUGUGUGCUGCUCUGUGCUGGCAGCUGUGUGCAGAUACAAAAGAAGUAUCCCAUACCCUCCUUGCCCUCAAGGAACUUAGUGACAGGAAGGAGAGCAAAAUUUACAGUUGGCCUACCCUCUUGGGCCUGUUUCCUCAUUACAGAAAUGAAUGAGGUUACACUUGAUCAGUAUUCCUUAUUUUAUUUUAUUUUUUUUUUAGAUUCAGGAGGUACACCUGCAAGUCUGUUACAUGGAGAUAUUGCAUAAUGCCGAGGUUUGGGGUUCUAAUUAACCCAUCACCCAAAUAACGAACAUAGUAUGCAAUAGGUAGUUUUUCAGCCCUUGUUUGGCGAGUGUUUCUAAUGGGGUCAGGCUGUCCCCUAGAGUAAUGCCUCUCACACUUUCAAAGAAGUUAAGCCAAAAGCCCGGUAUUUAGGAAAUGGUUGUUUUAGGAAGAGAAGCCUAAAUGGAAUAAAGACAAAACCUCGAAAUGACGAGAUGAUCUCCCUGCUUCAUGCAUUCUGUCUAGAUCAGAGCAUUUCCAAAUAUACACUGAACUGAAAAGGGCACAGUACAAUAUGCAGUGACCGCAAAGCAAGGAACCCAUGCGCAGGUCUGUAACAGGAAAUCUGAGACUUCAUCCAGCCGAUGUAGAAUUAGAUACUAGUUUAAAUUAGCAGAGGCGCCUCAAACUUGUUUAUAAAAGCUGUUUUAAAAAUAAUAUUCUUAUCACAUAUAUUUAUAUUUGUAGUACAAUGAUAAGAAAUCUCUUGCAAAAAUUAGCUAUCAUGGUUACUUCUUUGGGGUUGCCUUUUGUUCUUCCUUCUUACUCUGAUAUUCUCCUUCAAGAUUUACCCAACAACUUUUCCCAAUCCAUCCUCUUCUUCUCACCGCCCAUACUAUAAGGAUGUCAUUUUAAAAGCUUUUUUUUUUUUUUUUUUUUGAGACAGAGUCUCACUCUGUUGCCAGGCUGGAGUGCAGUGGUGCGAUCUCAGGUCACUGCAACCUCUGCCUCCCGGGUUCAAGGAAUUCUCCCACCUUAGCCUCCCGAGUAGCUGGGACUACAGGGUGUGCCACCACGCCCGGCUAAUUUUUGUAUUUUUAGUAGAGACGGGGUUUCACCAUGUUGGCCAGGAUGGUCUCAAUCUCUUGACCUUGUGAUCCACCCGCAUUGGCCUCCCAAAGUGCUGGGAUUGCAAGUGUGAGCCACCACGCCCAGCCACUUUUUUUUUUCUUUCUUUCUUUUCUUUCUUUUUUUUUUCUUUACUGCUAAAGACCGAAUAUAUGCCUCAACACAGUGGGUGGGAUUUCCAGACUGGAAACAUGUUUUCUGUGACACUUUGUCACUAUCCUGCCCCAUAUCACAGCGUAAUAAAUUAUCAUGACGCUACACUUAUACGUAAGACUGAGCUCACGAGACAGGAUCCUGUGCUUCCUUGUUUCCUCUGCUUGCACAUUUGUAAUUUGAUUUGGCUUGUUAUCUGUACCUCAGUGAAGGUUAUUUCCUUCUUCCUGUUAUCAUAUACGGCCAGGAAAGGGGGGUAACUCAUUGUAACACUUCUUUAUUCUAUUGUCCUCCUAUAUCCCUCUGAUCUUUUAUUUCCUUGUACUUCUUAUAUGAAGUGGCUUCUAUUUGUCUUCUGUUAAAUCUAAACUUAACCAUUAUAGGUAGGUGGAAGUGUUGACUACUUCAUUAUGUGUUCCAGUGCAGGCAUGCAUGAGCACGUACAUAUUGACAGACAUAUUAUUUUAUUAAGAAUCACAUUUCUGUGCUCACUUUGGCAGCACGUAUACUAAAAUUGGAAUGAUACAAAGAAGAUUAGCAUGGCUCCUGCACAAGAUGACAUGCCAAGUGUGUGCUCGCUCUCUCUCUCUCUGUGUAUAUACGUAUAUAUAUAAAAUAUACAUAUAGUAUGUAUUUAUAUAUAUUAAUCACAUUUCCUUUUUAUCCUUUUAUUAAAAUUAGGGCUACUUUAUGCGUUUGGGUCGACCGACUUUUCUAGGAAUUGUAUUUCAGGUGGUAAAGAUGGUGUUUCUAAAUAUUUGUUACAAAAAUAGGGCAUUGAUUGGAUAGGGUGGAGCACCACUGGGUUAAAUGAUCUCCAAGGUCUCUGACAUUCUUUGUGCAACAUUUACAAAACAAUGGAUGACAGCCUGAUUCAUGACUCAGUCAGAAAAAAAAAAA
rnacentral:lncRNA from 1 species